CGUCGAAGCAGAGGGCCGUUCUGGAGGAGGCGUUCAGGCAAAACCGCUACCCUAGCCACACAGAGCGGCUGAGGCUCUCGGAGAUUACGGGUAUCCCCGAAGACCAUAUCCAGAAAAUGGCAAGUUCUCCCGUCUUGCUGUAUGUUGCUGUCUGGCUCUUGUAGCUGAAAACAGCAGAGGGAUGCCUUUGGAAGUGAAUAAUCUUGAAGUGGCUGGUAAAGAUGACAGAACACUACUAGAACAUGUUUUUCUG